rnacentral:rRNA from 1 species
UACGUAGGUGGCAAGCGUUGUCCGGAUUUAUUGGGUUUAAAGGGCUCGUAGGCGGUCCAUCACGUCGGGAGUGAAAAGCUGGGGCUUAACCCCAGUCCUGCUUCCGAUACGGGUGGACUAGAGGUAGGCAGGGGAGAACGGAAUUCCUGGUGUAGCGGUGAAAUGCGCAGAUAUCAGGAGGAACACCGGUGGCGAAGGCGGUUCUCUGGGCCUUACCUGACGCUGAGGAGCGAAAGCGUGGGGAGCAAACAGG